UACAGAGGUGGCAAGCGUUGUUCGGAAUUACUGGGCGUAAAGGGCGCGUAGGUGGCCUUCUUAGUCAGACGUGAAAUCCCCAGGCUUAACCUGGGAACUGCGUCUGAUACUGGAAGGCUCGAGUUCGGGAGAGGAAUGUGGAAUUCCAGGUGUAGCGGUGAAAUGCGUAGAUAUCUGGAGGAACACCGGUGGCGAAGGCGGCAUCCUGGACCAAUUCUGACACUGAGGAGCGAAAGCCAGGGGAGCAAACGGG
rnacentral:rRNA from 1 species